rnacentral:lncRNA from 1 species
UUUGCAUUUGAGCUGUUUUUCUAACAGGAUUAUUACCACAUGGUAAGCAAAGGAGUUAGCAGCAAAGUCGGGUUUUUUAAAGAAAAAAAUAUUGGAUGUGUGAAUGAAAGUAUAAUACACACACACACACACACACACACACACACGUUGCUGUCACUCAGAAUUGUAUUGGCUUUAUGUUGGUUUUCUCUCUCUUUUUGAUUGAUUCUGCACAAUUAAGGUGGCUAGUUAUGCAGUGCCAACGGAGAAAAAUCUACUUCAUCAGAUGCAUGACAUUUUAUCCUGAGUUACAGGCCAAUAUAUGUACUCAUGUGAUAUUUCGUGUUUAUGUGUAUACACACAAAUAUGCCAUAAAUAGAUUAGGCUCUAAGGUGCCACACACACACUUGUUCAUCUGGGAUUUUUUUUAGCCCAAAGGUCACAUUUCCUCCUGGGGAACCUUGGGACAUACCAGUGGUGAGCAGGACCAGAGGCAAGGUGGGUGGGGCUAGAAGCAAAAGUGGGUGGAGCAACAGGAGCGUCUCUUCACUUUUUUCCUGUACACAAACAUCUCUACCAUAUCUCCUGCUCAGCAAGAGGCAUUAACGUGUUUCAAGGAAACAUCCCGCCCAGGCAAAAGCAGUCAAGGAGGACUAACACAGAUCUGGACCAAAGGGCUGUGGCCUGGGGAGGGGCUUAAAGUCCCAGGGGCCUGAUAUAGAAGUCUGGAGGGCCACAUCUGCGCCCUGUAGGGCCUAAGUUUCCCUACUCCCCAGAAUAGCACAGCUACUGCUCUGUGAAUUUAUAAGUACAGAUACAAAUUUAGAAAUGGUUAAUGGAAUGGAUCAGACAGCCCUUCAAACAGAGGGUGCUUUCAAAGAGAGGGCUGCCCACUGCAAGCUAGGGCACACGGCCACCCUAACCACAAUGGGAGGGAGCAACACGGGGGGGCGGGGCGGGAAUCCAGCUGGCCCACUCUUGCAGUGCAGCCGUCUGAGCUCUUGCUGUAUGGUGGCUGUAGGAAAAUCUAAUAACGGGAAGUUGAAGGCAUCUUGUAUUAUUGUGCUGGUGCAUUUGGAUAGAACGAGAUUCAGAUUGUUGCAAAGCCACUGUGCAAGCAGAUCAGCCGACUCAAGCAAUGUGGCACUGUGCCAUGGCAGGUAGGCUGAGGCAAAGGAACCAAAGCCCAAGAAAAAGCAAGGCUAUGGUCUCAUAUAAAGGCAAGCAUGAUGCAUACGGUCGAUGAAAACUUCAGCUUUAGGUCCCCUUUAUAUGUGUGUGUAAAAUCUUUUCUUUUUGAGAAGCAAACUCUACACAUGCUCAGGAGAACUCAGCCUGAGCUGCCAGAAUUUUUGUAACACAUGGCAAUUCCAGCCCUGACAUCUACUCAGCAGAUCAAUUUGAGUGCAAUGCAACAUAGGAUGCAGAGGGUGCCCACCUUCGCCCAGGUGUCCAGUUGCAGCCACCUUCAGAAUAGAAAACAGCUCCUGGAGAACGCAGCGAGUCUUUGUGAAGACCUGUAGCUUUGCAGAGCCCCAAGAAAUGGCCUUGCUAAGUUGUUGUUGUUGUUUAGUCAUUUAGUUGUGUCCAACUCUUCGUGACCCCAUGGACCAGAGCACGCCGGGCACUCCUGCCUCCCGCAGUUUGGUCAAACUCAUGCUGGUAGCUUCGAGAACACUGUCCAACCAUCUCGUCCUCUGUCGUCCCCUUCUCCUUGUGCCCUCUAUCUUUCCCAACAUCAGGGUCUUUUCCAGGGAGUCUUCUCUUCUCAUGAGGUGGCCAAAGUAUUGGAGUCUCAGCUUCACGAUCUGUCCUUCCAGUGAGCACUCAUAGGUUUGAUCUUCUUGCAGUCCAUGGGACUCUCAAGAGUCUCCUCCAGCACCAUAAUUCAAAAGUAUCAAUUCUUCGGCGAUCAGCCUUCUUUAUGGUCCAGCUCUCACUUCCAUACAUCACUACUGGGAAAAGCAUAGCUUUUACUAUAAGGACCUUUGUUGGCAAGGUGAUGUCUCUGCUUUUUAAGAUGCUGUCUAGGUUUGUCAUUGCUUUUCGCCCAAGAAGCAGGCAUAUUUUAAUUUCGUGGCUGCUGUCACCAUCUGCAGUGAUCAUGGAGCCCAAGAAAGUAAAAUCUCUCACACAAAAGCUGCCAUUAUUUCCUUAAUGUCGCAAUAGCUGGCAUCUGUUCAGGGCUGAUCUCCAGAAGCCAUUAGCAGCGAACAACUGCAACGUCCUUGACUGUCCAAGCUUAUGAGCAAAGCCUGUGGAUUCCUGAGCUGGCAGCAGAUGGCACCCUCUACACUCACAAUGAAUGUGUGCUUGUCUUGGGAGGGAACAUGAUUCCCUCUCCACUUCGGAGCGGUGAUGACUUCAUGCAUGGCCGCCCAUAAUGAUAUAAAUUGCUUCCCAUCAUGUGGAGAAUUUAUAUACUUGUGCUACUUGCUGCUAGGGGAGGCUCAGCAGGUUGCAAAGUACAUGCUUUUGCCUGCAGAAGAUCCUAGGUUCAAUUCCUGUUAACUGUUAAAAGGAUCAGGUAGCACAGCCUUCAUCAACCUGGUGCCUUCCAGCAGUUUUGCACCACAACUCCCAUCAGCCAUUGACAGCACUGCGCCUCAGUCAAAAUACUGGGGUUUUUUUGGUUUGUUUUUAAUCCCUCUACAGGCAUCAAUUCAUUUACCAGUGUCAGGAUGUUUGUUUUAUCAUUAACACACAGUCACUGAAAUUACUUUUACAUUUAAUGUAAUUAUCAUAGUCUGUAUUCCUUGCGUUUCAUAUCCCUCUGACUUCAUGGCUAACAUUUCCCCAUCCUUCCCAGGUGCAUUUCAUGACAUUAAUCCCCAAACUACAGGAAUAUAAUUUUAAAAUAGACAAACAUUUGUACAGCAUGUAUCUCUGAUGUUUUCACUGAGACUAUACGUUACAGUGUUCAGCUCUGCAUUAUUGCUGUUUGACUUAAAUUUUGCAUCAUUAACGACACAGACGUGAGACAGUUCCUGCCCAGAGGGUUUAGUUAGUAUUUAAAUUGGAUUGACAGCUUCUACCAAAGAUAGUCCUUGCUUUACAAAAAGCUCUGGCAGGCUGCAUCCUGUCCUCUGCUUGUUACCCUUUAAAGUGUCGUUUGCACAGGAUCAUCAGGGAGAGGGGGUUUUGCAGUUGGGUUCCCUUCCUCAUUGCAAAGGGUAGGCCCAGUUAACCUCCUUCAGAAUGAUUCUCAUCCAUCAACUCAUUGAGCCUGCAGAGGGAGGCCUUCAAAGAAGGAGCCCACAGCACACCUGCCUGCCGCAGGGGGCCUCACACUUCCUGGGCUGGUCACUGUCGGAGACACAUUACAGGGUCAAAUGAAGCAUAGGGCUGAUGGGGACUGGCAGGCUCUGGUGCUCCCAAAAUUCCAUUGCGAGGAGGAGCUGCUCCCAGCUGCUACUCAGGUUGGACAGGAUGGGCACAGGAGGGCACAGCAAGUGGCUCCCAUCAGGCAUGGCCAGGAGAGAGGAGGGAUCCUUGGAGGAAUAAACAACCAAGAGUUCUGCAGCACCUUGAAAACGAAAAAAAGGACUGUUGUGAAAAAACGUCUAUUGACUUGUGUCUCCGUCAUCAGAUGCAUCCUCAGAGGAGGUUACAUGGGAGGCAGUAUUCCUUCUUUUUCUUUCUUUAGAGGAAGCAGUUAGAAACAGGCUGAACCCUGAUGUUGACCCCCUGAUGGGGAACAUUCCUAGCCUCACCUGGAGAUUGCCAAGGAUUGAACCUAGCCAAAGGAGAUGUUCAACCAUUGUGCUAUGGCCUUUUCACCUAUUCGGGUAGCUCCUAUAGCUUUAAUAGUUUAGAAAGUGGCAUUUUGAAAUGUGCUGAUUUUCCAAGUUAAGUUGGCAUCUGUCUGCUUCGAGAGACAGUGGAGUGCACCUCUGGGGAUGAAGUCAAACUGCUGUGUUAUCAGUAUUGAAGUGACCACCCUGACGGGGCCAGUGGGUAUUGAGGUCCUGGGCUGCCCAGAUGACAAGACCCUCCACCCUCAGUCUUGCUAAUGUGGUCAAAAGGAAAGCAGAGCAAUACAUUUGGUACCAACGUGGCUGCAGGAGUUGCUGGAAGGAGGCCUACAAGGCGCCAUCCAACAGUCUGAGGGACUCCAUCUUUGUGUAGGGUUUACUCCUUAGCCUUUUCUUCUCCCCAAGAUAUGCUGCAAGGCAGUGGAAGUUUUCCUUCUCCUAGAUAGAAUAACUUCCCAGGUUGAUGAGCCCCAUCCCUCUACAGCUCGUGCAGAAACCGCCUUAUUGAUCGUUGGACCCACUAUUAGUCUGGUUUGCUCAAUCCGACGGAUCUUGUCUUCACAUGCAGAGGCAAUCCCUAAAUCACAGAGAGUUUGAGACCCAUUGGCUACCUCACCUGGUUUAGCCAGCCAGUCGAAGUCAUUUCCUGGGCUGUGGCUGCUGUCACAUGCUGACGGCUUCUAGGAGCCACAAGUGAGUGCUGAGUGCAUGGUGAGGACCAAAGGUAGACAAACUACCCCAGAAGGUGCACAACCUGUCCCCUACCAGAGGUACUCCUACUCCCCACACACCCCAUACACCCAAGUACUGUGUCAAAAAAAGCUCCAUUUGCUGAAGUUUCUCUAACCUAUGGGAUGUACAGGAAGGUACAGGAUAACUGUAAUGCUGAAAGAUUAUCCAUCUCCACCAUAGGAAAGGAAGAAAAGCCCCAGUGAAUCAGGCCAAAGGCCCAGAAAAUUCAGCAUCCUGUUCUUACAGUGGCUUGAGGGAUGCCUGGAAACAGGACCUAAGUUCAAAUUGAGAUUGAUUUUUUUUCUGUAUCUAUUUCAACACUCCCAAAAUUUGAGAGCCACAGAUGUUGUGAUGGUGUGGUGAUCUGUUUUGAAACAACCCCACUGAAGAAGAUAACAGUGGUUACUCAAACCUCAUUGCUGAUUGUGAAGGGACUCCCAUGACAGUUUGAGCUUCAGGGUCCCCAGAAUGUAGUUUCACUACUGCUUGUUCCUGGUCCUGUGCCUUCAUUUCUGAUACAGUGGCUUCUAGGCACAGAACAACAUGUAGGUAGAAAAGGUGUGUUCAUGGCUCAGCAUGCACCCAGAUGGUUAUCCAAGUGCCAUUUUAGGAAGCCACUCAACAGUUUCAAAAGUGAGUUGGCAGUGGCGUGAUAAAUAAGGUUGGACUAUCCAUAUAAAUACUUCCACACACAGUCAGCUGCAACAUGGGACCAUUCCUACCAUAUCAUAAAUCUGUCUGCACACUGGCUAUAGAAACCAGCACUCAUGGGCUUAUUCUUGACUUGAACAUGCAGAGUUUUGUUUUUCCCCCUUUCCCACUAGAUGGCACUUUGGACCUCUGGUUGCCAGGGAAAUGUACAUUUUAUUAUGUUUCUGCUAGUAGUAGUUGCUUCAGACAAUAUUCCGGAGGGGGCACCAUUUCUCUCUAUCCCUGCAUGAUAUUAAAUAAUGAGAAGAGGGUCAUUAGAAAAUAAGCAAGGGAAGGUUGUCAUUUUGACUUUACACAUCAGGUGUGAAAAAGUCUGUGAGUGGAAGUGUUGGCAGCUCUGAAAAGGUGUGAAUUUGUUUGUGAUGGAAGACACUUGGUGCUUACCCAGACACUGAGCAACUGCAUGUCCCAAUUCCUAGCAAACCUUUGCAUUAUCUUUCCAUACUAGACCAAGGAUGGAGACCCUGGUUGUCCUUCAAAUGUUGUUGGAGUCCAGCUCUCGUCAUCCCUGGCCAUUGUCCAUUCUGGCUGGGGCUGAUGGAAGAUGGAAACCAACAACAUCUGGAGAACCCCAUCUCUGGGCUAUAGUGUGAUUAUUAUAUUCCUUGAUAUUGCACCAUAUUAUAUAGUCUCCAUGUAACAGAGGGAUAGUUUUGCUGUAAGCCAUCCUACUAUUGUGCCUGGCCCCUUUGAAAAACCACAAAAAAUGACGUUGAGAAGAUGAGUGUGAAACUUUAAAUAAAAAACCCUAACGGAAUAAAAACACAAAGAAAUUCUCAUAUUCAUUGCUAGGGGUAGGUUAAGUUUGUCUGAGUUCGCCAUUGUUUUAAAGGCUAGCUAAGUGCUCCUGAGACAGAAUGGUGUAGCUACGGAUCACUCAGCUACAAAAGGAUUUUAAAAAUAAAGCAAGACUUUUAAAAGUUGUAAAACAGGACAGGAUUUGCACAGGAAUUGUGUCAUUGCUUCCCUAACUGGUGCCGAUGACAGUCACAUUAUACACAACACUUGGAAUAACAAUGGAGGCCAAAAUAAUAAUAUAUCCCCAGCAAAAUAAAUUGUAAAAAUUGCUGUUUGAUAGCAAGGGAAAAGCCGUGUCCCUGCAUCACAGCCCAACUGUACAAUAUAUCUGCAACAAAUGAAUAAUAAACAUGCGUUUCGUGAGCUGAGCAGUGAUUGGGUGGGAAAGCUUCUGAUUACGUUGGAAAAUAAAUGCUUGUCUUUUGUCAUGAGACAAAACGCUGUAAUGAGCUGUUUUGCUUAUACCACAGUUUUGCAAAGCUUGUGCGACAAGUUCCCCUUUAGAGAUCUUCUUAUGAUUUUAUCUAUCAGACUUUUUACUCUGUUCUUCCAGAGCAGUUUCCAUGCAAUUUCGCAUCCAAGUGCUGACCGGGCCAGGCUGCGUUAGCUUCCGCAGUAGAACUGACCCAUGUGGAUUCUCUAUAACAUCCUCACUUCCAGCAUCUUCCCUUGCAUUGUGUUGUAAACUGGACAUUCCAUCUUGUAGUACAUGCUACAGUGUGGCCAAGAUUUAUGUACACCUCCCUCCCUGGGGGGGAGGGGUGUCAGUUCCCCACCCUGGCCACAUCUACUGCACAUUCAACAGCUUCAUAACCAUCAGAAAUGUAGCUAGUGGUGGUUUUCCUUUCGUGUAGAUAACUGUUUUGAGUGGGGAGGGAACUUUUAUUGCCAAAUUUCUGUUAAUGAAGUCAAUUUUUUCAAAAAAAUUGGUUUUUUAUUAAAGAUUUUAUUGUUACAAAACAAAUAAGUGGAGAAAAGUACAGUGGUACCUCAGGUUAAGUACUUAAUUCGUUCCAGAGGUGUGCUCUUAACCUGAAACUGUUCUUAACCUGAAGCACCACUUUAGCUAAUGGCGCCUCCUGCUGCCGCCGCGCCACCGGAGCACGAUUUCUGUUCUCAUCCUGAAGAAAAGUUCUUAACCUGAAGCACUAUUUCUGGGCUAGCGGAGUCUGUAACCUGAAGCGUAUGUAACCUGAGGUACCACUGUACAAUUGGGGGAUGGAGAGGGGGGAGAGAGAAAUGGGGGCGGUGCUGUUGUUCUUUCAUUUUAUUGCCUAGAAUAAGUGUAGGGGUUGUGACAGAAUCAUGUGGAUAGGUCCUUAGUUUAUAUAGGUUGACAUUGUGACAGGUUUGGGGGUCCAGAACUAAUGAAGACCUACUGGGAAAAUGCUGGCAACUUCAGACAGAUACUACCCCUUCCUUUCUGGGUUCCAGGGGGAAACCAGAUGCAGGUUACAAACUGUGGCUAGGGAUGUUUUGAUGUAGAAUAGCUCCCACGUGGUUGGUUUCAGGCUGUGGGACCCCACCCCCUUUUUUAAAAAAAGAAAAGAAAAGAAAACCAUGGCUCAUAAUGUGGGAUUGUUCCCAUGGUCUUUUGCCUUUAGAAGUAGUGAAACCACAGCGAGUGUUUCUAAUAUGUCUUGUGGUAGAUAAUAAUAGUCACAUACCAAAUGUUCUAGUUUUCAUGAAAUAUUCUCACAUUCCUCUUUCUCUUUCCCCUUCUAACUCAACCUUGCAUGAUAAUAUCCCAAGGGGCUCUUUCUGUUUAGCUUCCAGUUGACGCCAUACUGCAGACAGGACUCUUGUGAGAAGGAAUCUCUCUUGGGAAGCAGUAUGAUGUCCGGUGGAAGUCAAUUCUCCAAAUGUGGAACCCGCUCAGUCUACAUUUAGCACUCCCCCAUAGGAAUAGAAAGAUUCUGAGAAGGAACUUAAUGCAGAGGCUGGCAUCCUCUUUCUACAUCCAGGGUAUAUGGGAGUUGGAGUCCAACAGCAUCUGAAAGGCACCAUGUUGGCUAAGCCUGGUCUACAUGGUUUCCUGUAUGGCAGAGCCCACAAUACAUUUACCUGAAGUUAAACUACCCAGCACCCUACCCAUCUUGGUCCCCAUAUCUUUGUUAAAUUGCCUAAAGAAUGAUAUUUUAGGCUAGGAAAGAGUCAUAUGGCAGCUUCCCCUUCUCUAUGGGGGGAAUAUGUGCCCCAGUCUUCACACUCAUUGCAUGAGAUGUAGAAGGACUCAUUAUGGGGUAGCCAGCUGGGGAUUACAAUGCGCUUAGUUUCAGGCCGUGGUUGUCUUCAUAUGUUUGCAGAAUAGGAUGUUGUGGGAGGCUGUAUGGAGAAGAUGCACGUGUGUGUCAGUGUGUGGCUAGGAAGGGUGAAUACACAAAGAGGCUAGGUGGGUGGACCAGAAGCCUGACUUAGCAGAAGACCCCACUACCCCCACUAGUCCUUUCAUCUGGCCCUUUUCUGUCUCAGAGUCAUUAGCCCUGACACACCUCAUAAAUAUGCACAUGACUCUUCAAACCCUACAUCUGAUCUUUCUUCUUUGGCAGCACUCCCUACUGAUCUUGAUCUGGCUUCCAUUUGCCCCUGUUUAUUGGAUCAGAUUUUCUCCUAUUAACCCCAUUCUGAGUCACUUGACCUCCAGUCCUCUGAAUGCAUAGAAAGAUGGCUUGAGCUAUACCCAAGUAAAACAAAGUUUGCUUACCAUGGAAUUUGAUCCCAUUUCUCCUUGCCUAAUGAAUGGUGGUGUCAGAAUAUUCCCUUUUCAUGCAUGGCACAUGGGGUGUGUGUUUGUUUGUGUGUGUAGGAAGCAGCUGGUCUGGAGACUUUGCCAAAUUCUUAAGUUAUGUGUGUAUGUGUGCUAAGUAUAAAACUGGAUCCCCCACCCCCAUAUUUUAUCGCAAUUUGACAGGUUGAAUCCAUCUCUUUUCACUCCUCUCCAUGUCUUGACAUGUCUUAGCGGGGAGAUGCCUGACUGCAUCCCAUAGCCUUCAAACGAAACUGCAGGUGUCAGUUGAAGAAGAGAUGGGAUGGCGUGAAAUUGAGUGGGGAAGACAAGGAAGAGUCAGGGUUGGGAAGCACAAGGAGGGGAGGGGAGUCUCUCAUCAUGAAGAAACAUGGGGUUGAGUGCCAAAUAGAUCUGUGGAUAGACAUUAAUAUCAGGCAAGAGAUUAGGAAGCUUCAUGACCUCUUUGUGACAUGGCAACACUCUUAUUAAGGGGGCUGAGGUUUCGGUCUAGUUAGCUCUGGCAUGGGGUCACUGAAGAAGCCGUUUGAGCUUCCAGAAAGACUACGGAAAGGAAAAUAUAAUAAAUAAACACAAAAAAUCAGCCCAAUAAAUACCUUCAGGAUUCUGGCAGGGCCACAACCCAUCAACAGUAACUGAGAAUGUGGGGGCAGUGUAAGCCCUUCUAGUUGGCAACCCUAACCACAUCCUCAUGUAGAGAGGGAUGGGGAUCCUGUGGCUUUCCAGUUGUUGCUGAUCUAUGGGCUGUUCCUCCAAAUGUUGUUCAACUAUGGGCUCUUCCACAUCACAGUUUAUUGUACUCUUAGAAGGCUUGUGCAUGCAAGUUUUGUGCCGCAUCCUCACAACAUCAUUCUCAUGAAAAUGCGGUCCUACAUUGUUUUCCCUUUUCAUCUGAAUUCAUCAUUUAUUUGGAAAAUCUGAUGAGCAGAAAAAAAGAAAAGAAAUGGUAAAUGUGGAUUCAAUAGGGUGGUGAGAUGGCAUUUUGAUGGCGGCAUCAAAUGGGCACUGUGCAAAACUUAAACAGAUGAGCAGCUUCAAGCCCACAAUAAAUUGCCAUGUGGAAGCACUGGGCAACACCUACGUAUCCCUGUCCAUUGGCCAUGCUAGCUGGGGCUGAUGGGAGCUGGAGUCCAACAACAUCUGGAGGACCACAUAUAUCAUGCAAUAGGUGCAGUUGCAGUGGCUGAAUUUGGAGCUGUUGUAGAUUUAUCAGGAGACUUACUAGGUUUCACUAGAACUGAAAUCUGAGUAUAAACUGGAUGGAUAUGUGUGUGUGUGUGUGUGUGUGUGUGUGUGUGGUGGGGGUGGGGAUGAUACAAUCUGGAUUUGCCCAGGUCAAAUCUUGACAUCUGGAAAGUAUUACUCUACAAGGCGAGUCAAAUGGCACACUCAUUCCUAGUUUUCUCCACAUGUAGGUGGCCUCCAUAGUCUAAAAUUUCCCACAGAGUUUUUACACAGAGUCUGAUAUUUAGAUCUCACUUUUUCCUUUGUAUUCUUGCCACAAAUUUUAAAUAGUAGAUUUAAUGCUUCUUUUCUCCUCCCAUACAGCAUUCCAAAAUAGCCCACCUACAGAACAAUCUUUCAGGCCUCUGAACAUGUUCUUGUUUUAACCCUUUUGUUCAGAGGCGUCAUUUCUGUAAACCCAGCUGCAAUUUCCCAGCCCAGGAAUUGCCAAAGGAUUGCCAUCUCUUUGGUUCUGAUUUCCCUUUUGUUGUUGUUGUUGUUAUUAAUAUCAUCAUCAUCAUCAUCAUCAAAAUCAUCAUCAUCAUCAUCAUCCUAAGAUUUAUAUACCAGUUAAAAUACAAAAUCCCUUACUGGUUUGCAUAAAAUAUAAUCUAAUCAUUAAAAAAAGAGGAAAAAAUCCAUAUACCGUACAAUAUUAUAAUAAAAAAUACAGAGAGGUGUGUCAAUACUCCCUCCACCCACCUCAACCCCAGCGUCUCAUCCCCAGUCUAGAGAGGUCCAUUUCUGUCAAAGGCAGAACAUAUUAGUGAAACUUUUAUGGUUGUUUCACUUACUAAAACUGAAACAAAGUUUACCCAAGCAAUCUUAGUUCAAAUUCCUACAUUUUUAAUUUGGAUACAAACCAGCUGAAGGCUGAAAUCUCAACAUUUAAGCUUGAAAUUUAGAUUUGGAAAUCUAUUUUCAGUAUAGUACUGUAUAUCUUCAGCUUUUGGUGUGUGUAUACAUUUUAGUUUAUUGCAUUAGCCAAUGGACACACCAUUUUACAACCAAGCAAAAAUAUAACAUGCAGCCUAAUACUGUACUCAGGAUGAAUAAUACAGCAAUCCUAAUAUGCUCAGGAUAAAGGAAUCAACGCCCCUGAAUAAAUUCAGCUCUAGCUCUUGCAGUGGCAGCAACCUUUAUAGAAUUUUUUACAUUCUUAUCUUCAAGAGUAAAAUAAAAUGUCUAUAUAACAGUUAAACCUCCUUUCCUAUCUAAUCUACAAUUCUGCUAAAGGACAAUUAAGCACCUAGUGCACCUGGGACAAUAUAUAGAGUCACGUAGUUCACAACUAGUUUGUUUGCAUAAUAUUUAUAUGGUGGCUGUAUGGGUGCAUUGCAAAAAAAAAAAUCCCGUUGUGAACUACGUGACUAUAUGCUGUAUCACAUUAGCUGAACCCUCAGUGACACAAAUACUUUCCUCUGCUGGAAAUUAGUCAAAUUAUUCAGAAUAGUUUUGUAGCACGAAGCAGCUUUUGGGUCAAUGAGUUUUUUUCUUUAAAAAAAUUAAUCAUGUGAGAAUCUACUGUUGCUAAUCUUACUAGGUUGCCAUAUUUUUAUCUUCUGCUUUCCUGCAACUAUCAUUUCGAACUACCAUGGCCAAGUUGCAAAUGUACAAUAUUAACAGCAUUUAUUCAAGACCCCCAUGAUGACUAACUCAUAUAUUGUCAAGUUUAGGAGAGGUUCAGAAGAGGGGAAAUCUAUCACAAAGUCAGUAACGUCUCCUUGCCAUUACUGACCUGGAAGCUUGUGUUGAAGUUAAGCAGUACUGUACAGUUGUUGCUGUUAUACGAAAAGUAUUAAUAAAUAAAUAUUAUAAUUGAUAAAUAACACAUGUAUUGUUAAUAAUAAAAGUGUAAUAGCAGACGUAGUGAUAUUAAACUCUUCAUAUUAUUGUUAUUCAGAGACUUUGUUGCUUCUUUAUAGUCUCUUCUUUUGGCUAGAGUUGGGGGUCCCCUUUAGUUUUUCUGCUCUUGUUUACCCACACUGAUGUUCAGCCAUCUCCCCAGUUAUGUUUUCAUAAAAUUGAGUAAAUAGUUGACAAACACAUCUAUGUCUUCUUCCGAAUGGACUGUACUCCCAUCUCUGCCUUCAGUGAUGUUGUAUGUGUGGAUCUGUGAAUGCAGAUGGCCAGAUAUUUGAUGACAAUGCUCAAAACUGAGCUCCAAAAAAGUUCUUUUAAAUUCAAAUGUUAGGUUUUUGCCAAGCAGUGUAAGAGCUUUGGUUUAAACCACCUGUUUGGCAUUCCAUUUGUCAGUUUGUAAUGUAAUAACUCCGCUGAAAAUCGAGGCAUCGGAAAUGAAAUUUGACACAUGUGUUCAGGGCACAAUCUAAUGCUUCAAGUUUGUUGAACAGCCGCUCAUUCGUCACAUCCAUUUUCAAAGUGGGGAGGAAAAUGAAAAAUAGAGUGCAAAUAGAGUGAUUUCUCUCUUGAAACCUGAGGCAUCACAAUGAAUGCAGGUACAUUUCACUUCCACCUUGCUUUUUAAGGGGAUGGAAGUAAGAUGCGUGGUAGAUUGGCAUAAUACAGUAUCUGAAGACUUUCUACACUAUGUUUUACUAGUUAAUUUUGUACCUGUCAAUUUUUAAGUUUAAACAACUUCAUUGAGAGACAAAGAGAGAGAUUCUGGAGAGAUUCAUUACAAGAAGGGGGGGGGAUAUGCAACCCCCUUGGCUUCUCUCUGUUUGAAGGAAAUACUUGUUAAUAUUCAUUGUGCUAACAAACGAAAACAGAAGGUCCUUGGCCUUUCUCCAGUCAUUUGACUCUCUCCCCCCCUCCCCGCUUUUGUUUUCUGCAAUUGUCCUUCUAAGCAUUUGUGUGUGUGUGUUUUGAAAGAAUUGACAAUGGUCAGGAGUAAGGUCUCAACACACUUCCUGUGUUUUGGCGCACAGAAAGCCUGGUCACUAGGCCUCACUUCCUGUUGCAGAGACAAUUGCCAAGGCAAUAGAAGAAAGAGCUGUCUCUGUUUGGAGUGAUGAAGCAUCAGUUACAUCACCAGAAUGCCAGGAGGUUCUUGUUUAACCUUGACUGUUUUCUGGAUGGGGGGGGAGGGGAAGCCGGGGGGGGGGGGAGCUGGUAUCAGGGGGAGUAUAACAGGAGUGACUCAGGAUCAAAAGAGCAGCACAUUUCUGAGCUCUGACUCAACCCGCUCUUAGGAAAAAAUUCCAAUCACAUUUUUUUCCCAGGGAGGUAAACAAGGUCACUAUGUCCAGCAAGAUCCUGUUUACCUGAGAAUGGACAUGUUUUUAGAAGUGAUAGUGGUACUCACAUAUGCUGUUGUGAGUCAGUGCUGUGGGUGUACAGAUGCUGUUAUUUCACCGGGGCAGAAACUUCAAAUAUCUGCCAAGAAGAUAUUCACCUUUGCAUAGAUACUGUCUGGAUUUAGGCAUAAGGUGUCUCUCCCUCCCACCCACAGGGAUCUUUUUUUAAAGUCGGAUUCAAAAUGUACGGUAAAUGUGUCCAGAAUGCUCAUUUUCAUUACAACCAUCUCUCCUCCCCACAAACACACCAAGGGUGGGUGGGACUUGAAUUUAAAUGCCAUCAGAGACAGUAAGCCUCACUUGUGAAAAUGCCCUGGCUAUGCAAAUUAGAACUUACUCCUUAGGGCCAAACUAGACAAAACUAUAGGAAGCUGGGAUUAUUAUUAUUUAUUAAAUUUAUAUACCGCUCUUCAUCAAAAGAUCUCAGGGCGGUUCACAGGAUCUUCUUCUUUGGCAAUCACUUGUAGCCGAGUGAGAUUGUCUUCCAUAAACACUGCCUUAACAGUGAAUCCGUAAGUGACUGUGGAGGCCAAUUCUGGAUCCACACGUCCUUCCGCAGUGGGGACAUAGGUUUCCCGGUGGGAGCUGAUCAUGGUGAGGGUUUGCCGAAUGUGACUUCCUCUUAGCACGUUUCUCCCUUUUGUACUGUGUUCGAGUGUCUUCAAAGUCCAUGACACCUUUGGUAAAGGCUGUUCUCCAACUGGAACACUCGCAGGCCAGUGUUUCCCAAUUAUUGGUGUUCAUACUACAUUUUUUUAGAUUUGCCUUGAGAGAGUCUUUAAACCUCUUUUGUUGACCACAAGCAUCACACUUUCCAUUUUUAAAUUCAGAAUAGAGUAGUUGCUUUGGAAGAUGAUAAUCAGGUAUCCAAACAUUGAUGUUGAAGAAUCAUUGCUUCAACACUGGUGGUUUUUGUGUAGGAUCAUGGCAAUGAAAAUAAUAAAUAGAGUUGGGGUGAUAACACACCCCUGUUUAACACCUGAUCCCACUGUGAAUGGUUCACUUUGAUAACCUUUACCUUCUAUUCUAUUCUAUUCUAUUCAUUAAAUGCCUAUACCACCCUUCAUUAGAGGAUCACAAGGCAGUUUACAAUAUAAAAACACAAAAAUACAUAACGUAGCAACAAACAAAAUAACCCCCCGCUGGAACCAACUUUGCUCUGCUCACCCACCCAGGUCUCAGCAAUACAAACCAGAUCUGUAUAUUCUAGAUAAUGUUCUGGAUAUUGCCAACCUGUUUUAAAAAGGAAUGAUGACUAUCUUGACUUUCUGGUAAAACAACUUUUUCAGGGAUUAACUUAUUAAGAGUUUCUAUGCUGCCCAAAAGUAACUGACCGUUUUGCUGAUGUGGUUGUGGUUUAAAAAACAAUCCCCUAGGCUCACCCACUAAUGACAAGCUCCACUGUUACAUUCCCCUGCAGAAGUAUUGCAUGACUCCCAUUCAUUUCAACUGAGAUUGUGUCCUAUGAUUGUUUUCUUGUUGGCAUUGUAAUUUGGGUGGCAGCAUGUUAUUCUCACAUUGUUUUUAUACUCUAGCUCAGAACUUUCCAAACUUUUCAUGUUGGUGACACCCUUUUAAACAUGCAUCAUUUCACAACACAGUAAUUCAAUUUUAGUAGCAAACCGGUUAAACUAACCCCUUUCCAGCCCUGGGGGGAGCACAGGGAGAAUUUGCAUGACAUACGUACUCACUGCAGUUGACACAUCAGUGUGUUGUGACACACAGUUUAGAAAGCUCUGCUGUAGCUUUUAUGGCAAGAGGCAAUUGCCCAGUCCAUACCAGAUGCCCUUCCAAAAUAUUCUAAUAACCAAGUCUAGAUUGCCACAUGAUUCAUCAGCACCUAUUCCAGACGCUGACUAUGUGUUUUUUCCUGAUAACAAGAUGUGUCUCUCUCAUGACCCCAGCCACCACCAGCCACCUCUUGGUGUGUAUCCUGUUCUUGCCCUUCGGCUGUAGCAGGAGCGGGAAAGCACGGAAUGACUUCACAUUCCUGGAAUUCUUGGCAGGCAGGCAGGGACCUUGCUGCAGCUAAGUGGCUUUGUGGGGGACAGCUUGGCGCAUUAGAAAGCUAACUAGAUGUACCUGGAAAUACCCACUUGCCCUUUCACUUGAUCUGCAGAACAGACAUAGUGUCCAUUUGUUGGCUUAUCAGAAAUGCGUCAGCCAAAGAAGCAAGAACUCUGGCCCUAUCUGAAUGUGCCCUGUAGAGUUGUCAGUGCUGCAUAAAAAUUACUGUUAUUCCUAACUGUUUAUAUAAGCACUUUCAACAUGCAAAGCACUCAACAGUGUACAACUUACGAUUACAAUUGGAAUCAUUUUGAGCAGGAAGGUUGUUGCAAUUCUCAUUUUGCAGAGGAGAUGCAUGUCCAUGUUCAGCUAGUGGGUUUCCAGCUGGAUACUUCAAACCUCCUCAUGUAUCACAGAUCCUACACCCAACUGAUUCUGUGUCACGCUGAAUAAGUACCCCAGCUCCAUAUUUGUUACUUUAUACCAGGCAUGGCCAAACUUGGCCGUCCAGAUGUUUUGGGACUACAGUUCCCAUCAUCCCUGACCACUGGUCCUGUUAGCUAGGGGUGAUGGGAGUUGUAGUCCCAAAACAUCUGGAGGGCCAAGUCUGGGGAUGCCUGCUCUAUACUGUAUAGAUUCAGCAUCUAUAGAACCAAAUCAAGUAUUCUAGAGAAAAUGUUCUAAGACCAUAAAAAGCAAUUCAGCAACCAAUAAUAAUAAUAAUUAUUAUUUAUAUCCCAUCCAUCUGGGGGGACAUAUAAAAACAAUUAUUCUUAAUUCACUUUAGUGAUGCUUUCUGGAAUUCAGGUGCAUGGAACUGGGAGCCUGUUCCAAGUCUAACAAUGUCUAGUUCUAAAACUACGUCUUUCCAAUAAAAGCGAGGGGUACGGAGCUUGUUAAGCAAGCCAUGCUCAAGAAUGCAUUUGAUCACAACUGCUCCUCCUACAGAGGGGGAUCCAUCAGGGAUUUGGCUAAUGGUCUAAUUAAGAACCCAAUAUAAUAAAGAUGGUAUGCAGAUGUGCAAGUGACUAUUUGUGGGGCUCUAAAUUGCAUGUGUUCAUAGUGUUCUGUCUUGAAAGAAAUCUUUUGGAUGUGGCCAGGGAAAUGGCUGUCUCAACAAUUGAACACAGAUGGCACAGUGAUGACAAGGCAGGUGAAAUAAGUAAUGGCUCUGCUUAGUUUUGAGGAUGCUGAAUAAUGCAGAAUAAUUAUUUCUAUAAUUCGUUCAUUAAUUGUUAAGACUUUUGAGUACUGUACUUUCCUUUGCCUUUGUAUGUUUAUGUGCUGUGUUCAGUCUUAAUAUAAUUGUUUAAGAUUGCAUUAAAGUCUGAACUGUGAAAAUUCUUGUGAAAAGUCUUUUCAACAUGCUUGGUAAGAGGCUUAAUAUUGGUAUUUUCAAUACAGGUUAUAGUCAAAAAAUCUAUAUAUAGCAACAUUUAUAGAUCCAUAUUGUCCAAUUGAGGCAAUGGAUUCAAUGAAUUCAUAUUUACUGUAAGAAAAGCAUGCUUGUACCUAGAGUCCAGGUUCACAAAAAAACCCAGUGAUUCGUUCCUAGUCCAUGAAGUAUCCAGUGGAUUUGGAUGACAAUUACAAAGCCUUGAAUUUUUGUAAUAUUUCUGUAAUACUGCAUUGCGACAUAAGAUAAACUGGUGUAAGAGGACGUCAGAAGGUUAAACCCUCUCUGCAGUUGCUAGGUAACAAUGUUUUGCCCACAGGCUCACAGAUUGGCCAAUAAGAUUGGUUAUGAUGAUGCAAUGCUGAGGAUUUGGGUAUUGGUUGAGUGUGUGGUCAUUCAGUUUUCUUGCAUGGGUACGUUUGCUUUUAAACAGAAUUGUCCAGAAUAGCAGUGUUUGCUUUUAUUAUGACUUUUUUCUAUGGCUGGGUAUGUCUGUGGCAGAACAUUUUCACAUACAACACAAACUGGCCUUUGAUCGCUGUCCCAUCCUGCAGCUUGAGGAGUGCAAGGAUAUUGCAUUUGGAUUUGGCUGUUAAAAGUCCUGCUGUUUCUUUUUUUUAUAUUUUUUAAAAUUAAUUUUCAGAAAAAAACAAAAUCAUUACGUUAAAGAAAAAUAAGAAAUAGACUUCCGGGGGGCGGCGCGAACGGUAAUGGCGGUCUUCUCCCGACGGGAGAAGAAGCUCCGCUGAAAUCGGGCCGUCCGCUACGGCGAAGCGGAGACCCAACGAGAAAAACCCCAGGCAGCAAGAGCCUGGGGUCCUGAGGCUCGGCGGGCGCCAAGAGCAGCCCUCCAACUGCAGAAGGAGCCUCGUAAGUGAAGCCGCGCUGCUGCUGCCGGUGAGCGCUGAUCCCUUUUCCUGUUAAAAUUCGGACCUGGAAGAAAACAACUUAUUCGUGAGUAAAGACUGAAUCACUUGGAAUUACAAAUUUUAAAUGAGAAGGUUUAAAUUGACUUGAAUUUGGCUGAAAGCGGAGAGACGAGGAAACAGGAAGUCCGUCUUCCGCUGCCAUUGAACUUGGAAAAAAAAAGCAAUUAAGGUGGAGGAGUGGAGGCUGAAAGAAAGAGAUUUUAAACUCUACACAGCCAAGCAUCUAUGGAACUUACAAUUUAAAGUAAAACUAGCAAGUUAAAGAUCUGGACCUUUUAUUUGCACUUGAUUUUCCCCCUUUUAUUGGAUUACAAAUUGGAGGGUGAAACCCAGAGUCAGGAUUGCUUGAGCACUGUAACAGUGGGCUGUCAGUGUUUGACUUGGAUACUGUAUAUUAGAAGUUGCAACAAUCUGAGGGUAUUGAGACCUUUUAAAUUUGAAACAUUCUUUCUGGAGACAAAUAAGCACUGUCUGCAACAAAGUGAUUACUUUUAAACUCUGCUUAAUACUUAUAUUGGAAGGUUCUGGGACAUUAAAUCAGACUCUGAAAAGACAUUUUAAGCUCCCUCUAGAGGAUUGGAUUAAAACAGUGACUUUAUAAAUAUAUUUACUUUCGAUUCCCUUGUUGUCUGCUUGCUCUGGGCCUCUCUAUUCCUGUGGGAAAAACUCAGUGUGACCUUGACUGAUAGAUAACAUUGGAAUGAGUGGUACAAGAAGAAGAGGAAGAGUUAGACAAACAACUCUAACAAACCUAACCACAGCCUCGCAUGAACACGUAGAUCAUCUGUGCCUACUUUGCCCUCAGAAGUACAACUUGAAGAAGCUGCCUUGCUACAGGCAAAAGGGGAGAGGGUGAAGUAGAGCAGUUACAAUUGGAAGAUAUGGCCUCAGGAGCAUCUGUUUCUGUGCUAGAAAAAAUCUUUGAAAAAUUGGAAGCUUUGGACAAGAAAGUAGAUGCGCAAUCAGCAAAGAUUGAUAAAAAUACAGAUUGUCUAAACAAAUUAACUACACAGGUGGGACAGAAUACACAAGCAAUUGGACAGUUGACGGAGGCCUCAGUAGAAAACCGAAAAUUGGCUGAGGAUACCAGACAAAAAUUGGAAAAUUUAGAGCAAGAGGUAAGACCACUCACUAAACAAGUUGGGGAACAUCAGACUUAUCUUUCUAUGAUAGAACUGCGAAAUCGUGAGAAUAAUCUGAGGAUUAGAUCAUUACAAGAGGCAGAAGAAGGAAAUCUAACUGAGUUCUUGACCAAAGAACUUUCCAAGUUCUGGAGUUUGGAAGAAAAGGACUUUAAAAUUGUGUCAGCUUUCAGACUUGGAAGAUUUAUAAAGAAGGAGAGGCCCAGGGAUUGUUUGAUUACAUUGAGAUCGAAGGAGGAAAGGGAUAAGAUUUUGGGCCUACAUUACGAAAAGUCACUGGAAGUUUUGGAUAGAAGAAUUGAGAUAUAUAAAGAUAUCCCAAGACAACUGUUGGACCUUAGAGCCGCCUAUUCCGAACUUGCUAAACUAUUAAGGAGCAACGCAAUUCCAUUCAGGUGGGAUUUUCCCCAAGGAUUAUCUUUUACCUUUAGAGCGAGAAAGGUUAAAAUUAGAACAUUGGAAGAGAGAUAAAUUUCUGGCUACACACGGAGAGGACCUACAUAAAGGAAUUGAACUACCUUCCGGGCCUGAGGCAAAGCCAGCAUCAAUACCUCCACCUCGGGAACUUGAAGAUCCAGAAGACACCACCCCAGGAGAAAUAACCAGAUAGAUCCAGGAUGUCUCUGCAACUGUUGAGCUGGAAUAUUAAUGGUUGCAAUAUUCCGGAGAAAAGGAAGAAAAUAUUUCAUAUAUUAAAGAAAGAACAAUUGGACAUUAUUUGCUUACAAGAAACACAUGUGACGAGGCUCCACAGAAAAGUGUUAAUAAAUAAAAGAUUGGGCCAGGAAUUUAUUUCGUCGGAUAAAGUGAAGAAGAGAGGAGUGGUGAUAUAUGCAAAAGAGAGCCUGUCACCUAAAUUUCUAUUUAAAGAUGAACAUGGAAGGAUUUUGGCUAUUGAGAUACAAUAUCAAGGAGAGAAACUGCUGAUAUUAGGAAUCUAUGCGCCUAAUGAAGGGAAAUCGGAAUUUUACAAGAAGUUGCAGGGGACAAUGCUGGAUCAUCUGGAUUACAACAACAUCAUAAUGAUGGGAGACAUGAGCAGGGUCGUGUCAGCUAACAUGGACAAGUCGCAAAGUCAAAACAUCACAAAAGAUGGCAGACUACCUAAAACCUUUUUUGAAAUGACUGACAAUAUGGAUUUGAUCGACAUUUGGAGAACAAAGAACCCACUAGGUAGAGAAGGAACAUUCUUUUCUGAAGCCCAACUGACCUGGACAAGAAUCGACCAAAUAUGGAUCUCUAGAGGCCUGGCACCUAGGGUUAGAAAAGUGGAAAUCUGCCCAAAGACCUGUUCUGACCACAACGCAGUAAAGAUGGACAUGACACUACUACCAACUGGAUCCUUUAGAUGGAAGAUGAAUGACAAUUUGUUUAGAGAUCAGGAAAUUACCAAGAAGGCCCAAAAAGUUUUGAAAGAUUAUUUUGAGAUAAAUAUGAACAAUUCGGUGGAAAAAAGAAUCGUCUGGGACGUAAGCAAAGCCGUCAUGAGGGUAUUCCUGAUACAACAGAAUGUAGUAAAGAAAAAAACACAAAAUGAGAAAAAAGACAAGAUUUUGGAUAAAAUAAAAGAAUUAGAGAAGAAAUUAAGAGUGAAUCCAAAGUCACAGCCAACUCUGAGAGAAAUUAAACUGUAUCAAACACAGUAUUCUAAAUUGAUAAAUCAGGAAAUUGAAUGGAAGAUCAAAUUAAUGAAACAAAAACGUUUGAGUCGGCGAAUAAAUGUGGAAAACUGCUAUCCUGGCAGUUGAAGAAGACAAAGAUUAAACACGGUUACAAAUUUAGAGGUUGAUGGAAGAAACAUUCAGAAUCCAGUGGACAUUAGAAAGUGUUUCCAGAGAUAUUUUAAAAAUUAUAUACCCAAGGGCCGCAAGGCGAAGUUGAGAUUAAACAAUUUUUGCCAAAAAUGGAUUAUCUAAACUGUCACAAGAAAAUAGGACAAUCCUGAACUCUAAAAUAACACGACAGGAGAUUGAACAAGCUAUUCAGAACAUGCAACUUGGCAAAUCUCCAGGGCCAGGGCUGACCUCCAAGUAUUAUAAGACACUAAAAGACUAUUUGAUACAACCCUUGAUGGAGGUUAGCAAUGAAAUUAUGGAGGAAGAGGGCACCGGAUUCGUGGAAGGAAGCGUUUAUCACAUUGAUACCAAAGUCAGAAACUGAAAAGACACAACUGAAGAACUACCGUCCCAUCUCCCUUUUAAAUGUGGAUUACAAAAUAUUUGCAGAUAUUUUGGCAAGUAGAUUUAAAAAGUUUUAAAUGAAGUAAUUCAUAAGGACCAGGCCGGUUUUCUCCCAGGUAGACAUUUGUUUGCUAACACAAGGAACAUUAUUGAUAUUUUGGAACUUCUCCAAACUGACAUAAAUACAAAAGCUGUUUUAAUUUUUAUAGAUGCGGAGAAGGCCUUUGAUAACAUUUCUUGGAAAUUUAUGAUGGGAAACUUAAAAGAGAUGGGAGUGGGACGGGGUUUUGAGAAUGGGAUUGAGGCGAUAUAUUCAGAACAGAAAGCAAAACUGAUAGUUAAUAAUGUGGUUACAGAAGAGUUCAAAAUUGAAAAAGGGACACGACAAGGUUGCCCUAUUUCCCCUUUGUUAUUUAUUUCGGUCCUGGAAGUGCUAUUGAACAUGAUUAGGGGACCAGCUGGUGGAAGGAAUUCAGGUUGGUCAGAAACAAUAUAAAUUAAAAGCUUUUGCAGAUGACCUGGUUUUGACCUUGCAGAAGCCAGAGCCUAGUACGAAAAGAGUAUUACAAUUGAUUAAUGAUUUUGGUCGGGUGGCGGGAUUUAAAUUAAACAAACAGAAAACUAAGGUUUUGGGGAAAAAUCUGACUGAGACAGAGUCAGAACGGUUUCAGAAUGAGACGGAACUUAAUGUGGUUAAAAAGUAAAAUACCUAGGGGUAAACAUAACAGCAAAAAAUCUAAGUCUAUUUAAGGAUAAUUAUGAAAAAUGUUGGACAGAAAUUAAGAGAGACUUAGACAGUUGGUCAAAAUUGAAACUUUCUUUGUUAGGCCGAAUUGCUGCGAUUAAGAUGAAUGUAUUGCCAAGAAUGUUGUUUUUAUUUCAAACACUGCAGGUAUUGGACAAAAUGGAGUGCUUUCAGAAGUGGCAGAGAGACAUUUCGAAGUUUGUCUGGCAGGGGGCUUUGCCCUGCCGGACUUAAAGUUGUACUAUGAAGCCGCAGCGUUCUGCUGGCUAAAAGACUGGCUACUUCUUGAAGACACUGAUGUGUUAGAUUUGGAGGGUUUAACAAUGUUUUUGGAUGGCAUGCAUAUUUAUGGUAUGACAAAGUUAAAGCAAAUAAGGCCUUUAAGAACCAUAUUGUUAGAAAAUCACUGUUUAAUGUCUGGACAAAAUAUAAAGACUUGCUGGAAAAUAAAACACCAAGGUGGCUUUCACCUUUGGAAGCUAAGGCCCGAAAAGACCCAAUAUGGAGGCCAAAUGGCCAAAAUAUUGGGAAAUACUAGAAAAGAUGGAGACAAUUGGAAAUUGCAGAGCUUGGAGAAAAUGAAAGACAAAGUGCGAGAUUGGUUACACUAUGCCCAGAUUAAAGAAGUUUUUAAAAGUGAUAAGAAACUAGGGUUCCAGGUGGAGAAAUCGAAAUUAGAAACAGAAUUGUUAGAACCAAAGACUAAGAUACUUUCAAGGAUGUAUAACUUGCUGUUGGAAUGGAAUACACAAGAUGAAAUGGUUAAAUCGGCUAUGAUAAGGUGGGCACAGGAUGUUGGGUAUAAUAUUAUGUUUGAGGACUGGGAAAGGCUGUGGAGUAAUGGAUUGAAAUUUACUGCAUGUAAUGCUUUGAAAGAAAAUGUAAUGAAAAUGAUUUAUAGAUGGUAUAUGACCCCAGUCAAACUCGCAAAAAUUUACCACCUGUCUGAUAACAAGUGCUGGAAAUGCAAAGAGUGUGAAGGAACGUUCUUUCACCUCUGGUGGACAUGCCCUAAAGUGAAGGCGUUCUGGGAAAUGAUUUAUAAUGAAUUGAAAAGGUAUUUAAAUAUACUUUCACUAAGAAACCAGAGGCCUUCCUUUUGGGUAUUGUCAGCCAAGGGGUUGCAAAGACGGACCAGACAUGUUUUAUGUAUGCAACAACAGCAGCAAGGAUACUACUCGCAAAACAUUGGAAAACCCAAGAUCUACCCACACUGGAAGAAUGGCAGAUGCAACUGAUAGACUAUAUGCAACUGGCUGAAAUGACUGGCAGAAUCCGUGACCUGGGAGAAGAGAGAAUCGAGGAGGACUGGAAGAAAUUUAAGAACUACCUACAAAAACAUUGUGAUUUGAUUGAAUGCUGAAUAAGAUGCUGGACUAAAUAACUGAGCACCACUUAACUUAGAAAUUUUUAAGGAAACAAGAAAAGUUGUGAAAGUUUAACUCUUUAUGAGAACUUUAAGAUUAUGAAAUAUCGAAGAGAUAUAAGAAUUUAAAUAAGAUGAUAAAUUGCUGACAAAAUGUUAUAAUGAUGAAGGUGGGAGCGGGAGAUGUGAGGAAGUCCAAAGAAAAUGUGAAAUUAUGUUAAGNNNNNNNNNNNNNNNNNNNNNNNNNNNNNNNNNNNNNNNNNNNNNNNNNNNNNNNNNNNNNNNNNNNNNNNNNNNNNNNNNNNNNNNNNNNNNNNNNNNNUUAGAUUUAGGUGCUUAGUUAAAAUGUUCAAGCACCAUUGAUAUCUAUGGGGUUUAGGGGUGCUUAACUUUUUCUGAACUGAGCCUUUAAUUUUUACAUUAUAUAAUUUAAAAGAUACACAAAUUGGUGAAGACAUGGGGUUGUGGUGAUGACUUGGGGUUGUGGCACUAUCCAAUACAGUAGUACCUCGGGUUACAUACGCUUCAGGUUACAUACGCUUCAGGUUACAGACUCCGCUAACCCAGAAAUAUUACAUUGGGUUAAGAACUUUGCUUCAGGAUGAGAACAGAAAUCGUGCUCCGGCGGCACAGCGGAGGCAGGAGGCCCCAUUAGCUAAAGUGGUGCUUCAGGUUAAGAACAGCUUCAGGUUAAGAACGGACCUCCGGAACGAAUUAAGUACUUAACCUGAGGUACCACUGUAGAGGCCUGUAACAUGUGAAACCAUAGGACACCUGGCACUCAUAAUGACUAUAUGGAGGUGGUAGCUGCAGGGUAUUAUCAAUUGUUAAUAUAUAUAUGUGUGUGUUUCAAACCAACCUCAAAUGCAAAACCAAGGAGCUCAGGACAGCCCCCCUAUUUUCUCCUCACAACAACCCUGUAAGGUAGACUAGGAGGGGAGAUGGUGACUGGCCCAAAGCUCCCAGUGAAGCAUAAAUCAUGAUACCCACAGAGUCACUGGACUGAACUGUUUCCUUUUAUGGUAUAAAUAUAGUCCUAUUACAGCAGGUUUCCUCUUUCCUCUGAACUGUGUUUUUCUUUUUUCUAAAUCACUAAUCCCUCUCAUGCUGCUAAAAUUAAAUAUUACAAAGCACACAUAUGCCACGGCAAUGUUGCAAUCUCUGUAGAUUUACUUAUUUGUCUUUCGGCGGUGCAAAGACAAUAGAGAAUGGAAAUAGCUUGGGUUGAAAUUUCCCUUUUCAGUUGUGCAAUUGUUUCUUUUGCUGGUUCAGGCCUGAACCAAACAGAAGCAAUACUUCUACAAGCUGGUGGGUUUUAGUAAUAAUAAUAAUAAUAAUAAUAAUAAUAAUAAUAAUUGUUAAUUGAUACCCCGCCCAUUUGGCUGGGUUUCUCUAACCACAAGUGUUUUAGUCUUCUUGUUUUUUACAAGCAGAAGGGUAUCCAGCUUUUGUAGGAAUAAAGGUAUGCAGGAAUGCAUGUGAUAUGUGUACCACUAGAAGUUGAGCCAGAGAUGAGAAGCCCAUGGUUUCCUCCAAAGAAUCCUGGAAACUGUAGCUCACUCCUCAUAUAGCUAUGGUUCCAAGCACCCCUAACAAACUAUAGUUUGUUAUUCCCCCGCAGCUAAGAUCCACUUGCAUUGCCCAUUCCUUUGUGACUGGGAAAUAUGCUUCUGCUCCAAACCAAACUGCGUAUGACAUAUCAUUCGACUUCUCUGCAGCUGUUAGUCAAUUGGGAGGCAGAAAUUAGCACAGAUUUCCCACACAUUCAUUGGUUUCCCGUGAGUGACUUCAGCUCAAGGAGUUGCUUUCAACAGAAAAAUGAAACAUGGGUGUGGGAGAACUACUCAUGAUUAACAUAAUGCACAGUUUGAGGUUGCAUGCACACCAUUUAAAACAUUUAAGGGUGCUGGGAAUUGUAGUUCUGUGAGGGGUAAACCAGAGUUCCCAGGAUUCUGUGGGUGCAGGUGGAGGGGUGUGUGGAUGUGCUUGAAAUGUGCUUUUAAAUGUAUGCUGUGUAUGCAACCUGAGCCUAUGCCACCUGGUAAUGGGGCCAAAUCAUUCCUCUCCCAGCCUUGGCCGCAGGGCCAGAUCUGCACGAUUAAUAUAUGCAAAUAAAUUCACCCGCAUGAGAGGUGAUGACUUUGUCUGAAGGGAAAGGCAAUAUUGUGCUCACCUCUUCUCCUAACGAUGUAUUUACCAUUUCUUGGAAAAAAUGAUUGUAUGCACACAGUGGUUAUAUGUACAGCAGUCCCCAAUGGAAAUAACAGUGGGGAGGAGGGGAAAUAAGAGAAACGGGUUGUCAAGGGGGAAAUGGCUAAAUCUCUUCAGCUGCUCCUUUCUGUUUCUUGAAGGACAAUGGAAAGCACAUAAUUAGGCUACUGUACAGUUCCCACCCUUUGUAGUUGAGCCAAAGGAGGGGUGGGGAAUCUGUGCCAAAAUUGAGGAGGGCCAAUUCCCAUUCCAACCUCUGAGAAAAUACUCGGUCCAUCAUAUAGAUGCGAUGCCUCCAAAUUAUUUCUUUAGACAAUCAGUUAAAAUUAAUUCUUGAAAACAGAAAACAUAGUUGAAAUGUGUUUAGAAACUGAGGGUCUUUGCCAAGUGCCUGAAGUUAAAUAGGCAUAAUUGUCAUACUGCUAAAUAUUUUUUCACAGGAUGGCUUUUACAGAGGUAAUGUGCAAGUAGUCCCUUUGAAUGCUCUACAAUGCUGUAUUGUAUAAAUAUUAUUGUUAAAAUUACAUAAUAUAAUAACAUUAUUAUUAUUAUUAUUAUUAUUAUUAUUAAAAAGGAAAUUUAUAAACCACUUGCACUCUCUUUCUCGAUCUAGAAAACAUCUCAAAAUACACAAAACAAUUAAAUAAUAUGCAUAAAAUCAUGGUUUUAACAAAAAUAUGAAAUCAAUAACAUUUUAAAAACCCACAAAUGUUACUAGAAUCAGGCAUCUGCAUAGACUUGGUGAAACAGAAGUGUUUUCAGAAGGCAUCUCAAAACAGUUAGUGAAGGCAUUCCUAAGCAUAGGUGCUGCCACACUAAGGGAAGGAUUCCUCGCAAACGCAGAACAACCUUGGUGUGGCAUUUGUAGAAGUGUACACAUUUGGCAUAAGGAAAUCAUAGAAUUGGAAGGGACCCUGAGGAUCAUCUAGUCCAACCCCCUCCAACGCAGGAAUAUGCAGCUGCCCCAUUCAGGGAUCAAACCUGUGACCUUGGCAUCAUCAGUGCCACACACUAACCAACUGAGCCAUCCAGGCUGCAUCUGUUAAGCAAACUGGCUCCAAGCUGUUAAGGGCUUUAUAUACCAACAGUAACACUUUGACCUUGGGCCCGUAUUUAUUCAUUUUUAUUUCACUGCAUUUGUGUCCCAUCUUUUUAUCCAAGGUGCUCAAAGGUGAUGUACGUGGUUCCCCAGCUCCUCAUUUAAUCCCAUAACAACCCUGUGAUGUAUGUUAGGCUGAGAAGCAAGGUCACCCAGUGGGCUUUGUGGCUCAGUGGGGAUUUGAACCCUGGCCUCCCAGGUCUUAGCCUGGCACUGUAACCACUGCACCACCCUGGCUGGAUCGGCAGCUAGUGCAGAUCUCUUGAGCAGAGGUGUAAUAUGCUGACAGACUCUUGAUCUCCUGUCAGUGUAAUAAAUGGAAAUCUGCCAUUAUUCCCUUAUGGGGUACAUGGAAAUCUGUUCUUAUUCCCUUAUGGGGGACACAAGAGCCCUUGUAGAGUCCUUUGCAGGUUCUCCAUCGGUCGGAGAAAAAUAACAGAGGCCAACCAGAGAUUAUUGAGAAGCAAAGCAGCUAGUAAGCCUGAUCUUUAUUGAACUGUUGCAACAGGGUGCCCCCUUCACACGCAGGAGAAGGAGGAGGACCUCGAACAAUGGCGCACAAGGCCUUACAUAGACAUUUUAAAUUCCCUGCCCUGGAGUUCAAGACCACCCCUCCAUACAUCAUACAUACAUCACAGAAGGGGUGUAACCCAAGACCACCCCCCACAAACGUCAUACCUACAUCACAGAAAAGGUGUUGUUUUUCCUGUCUGUCAGGGUAUCUGAUAAUGCCUUAUCUGAUUGCCUUUCCUGGUAGUCUGUCACCCUUUGAGAUGGUGAUUUCCCAAUUCCUGAGACAAUGGGAAGGUUCCCUGACCCCCUCCCUCCUUGCAGAGAAAACAUUUGGUCAGUUUGGGAAUCAUAAAUGGUUUCAGGUCGGUCUUCCUGUGCUGAUCUAUGUACGUGGUUGGUUGGUACAUUUAUGAACAUUUCUUAUAUAUCUAAGACUCUAAAAUUCUUAUCACAUCAGCAAUCGUGCCUCAGCAUCCUGCAGUUUCAGGAUUGCUCUGUGCUGCUCCGGAGGGCAGGGUCCAAACUAGUGGGUUGAAGUUACAAGAAAGGGGAUUCCUGCACAUCAGGAAGAGCUGUUUAACAGUGGAACAGACUCCCUCAGAAGGUGGUGGACACUCCUUCACCAGGGGUUUUAAAACAGAGGCUGGAUUGCCAACUGUCAGGGAUUCUUCAGCUGCAAUUUAUGCAUUGCAAGGGGCUGGGAAGGCUCUGUGGCUGUCCUGCAUUGAGCAGGUGGUUGAAGCAGAAAUCCUGCAGGACUCUCGUCCAACUCCGUGACUCUUUGAAAUUUGGUUUUUUUUAAUGGCCCCUUAGAUCACAGUUAUCUUUGAUGGCUCCACCCCUCUGUCUCCACAAGUCUGAGAAUCAAUCAAUCUUAGCCUGGGAGCAGCGAUGAUGAGAACUAUGCCAAAAUAUUCAUUACUGUGGGAGGCAUUGCAUAGAAGUUAUAAUUCACUAUUGUUGCUAACGAUGCCUCAGGCUUUCCAGUCCAGCGUUUGCUUAGGUUAAAAUGUUUUUGCCUACGGGCAUCGGGUUAAUGGGGCACUAGGGAUUCCUCACUUUUCCUCUCCUCCCCCUCACUACACAGAGGUCUUUUUUGUUUUAUUUUGUUUUUUCUUCUUGAUUAAUGGAAAAAAAUUAUGGAUAUGUAAGAGGGAAGGAAGGUCUUCUAUCUCUCUCCCACUCUCCUAAAUCAAUUAGAAAAACAAACACUUUCCAUUAUAACAAGGAAGCACACUCUCCAUGUAAAUCAUGCUUCACCCAACUUUAAAGGGACAGAGCACACACACACACACACACACACACAUAUUUUGGAGUGUCACUACACUCUCCCCAUCUCUGCCUCUGAACUUGCCUACCCUGUGGCCAACAGCAGUGCUCAUCCACAUUCUCACAGUUCAUUAGAUUUCCUUCUGCUGUGGGUAUGUUGGCCAUUGAACACAUCUGCCGGUGGAGGCUGGUCCAUAUGGACCAAUGGUUUGACUCAGUAAAAGGCAGCUUCCUAUGGUCACAGAGUAUUGCCUUCUUCACUCUGAAGAGCCUAACGUCACAUGUCAGCGAUCCUCAUGGGAAUCUCCUUAGGUGGAUCUCAGUGAGGAAGCAGCAGUGUGUAUGUGUAUGUCCCCUCCACUCCACUUCACUCAGCAGAUUUAUUUAUUAUGUUGCCACUCCACAAUAUUAUGAUGAUUUAUUAUGAAAUAUUGUUGUGUUUAAUUUAUACAGGAAGAAGGAGGAGUGUGUACCCAAAACACCUGGAGCAAAAUACAGUAAUUACGACCUACCAUUUUAUCCAGUCUUAUUAGAGCCAAAGCAUAUAUCUUGUUAAUUCUAGUUCCAUGGGACUUUUACCUUGCUAAGAGGGGCAGACACCUUGAUGUCUCAAUUUUCACUGGCGCCCUGUGCCAAUCCAAAAUCUGGCACGCCUUCCCUUGGACAUAAUGGUGGCACCUGCUGCAGCACCCCAGAAGCUCCUUGCCCAGUGUGACCACACCAGUUGCACUCCCCUAGAGCCGCUUCUGUUGCUAACAAAUAAGAUUGCAGCCUCAGACCAAGGAUCUUAUCAACUCCAGUACUCUCUUUUUCAAUCAGUGGUGCCUUUUCAGGGUCUUCUACAGAGGCCUUUCCAGCUUAACUAUUUUAACUGGAGAGCCAAGGGAUUGAACCUGAGACCUGAUACACACCAGGCACAUGCCCUUUGAGCCCAAGACAAUGCUCUGGUGAUGGCUCCUGAACAUAGGGAGGGAGCUCAGAUAUAUUCUUCUCCAUUCUAGCACAGCUCCCUCCAUAAUAAUUGUUUUGGCUCCUGAUAAUGAUGCUUUGAGGCUCAGUCACAUGAGGUAAAGGUAAAGGACCCCUGAUAGUUAAGUCCAGUUGCGAACGACUCUGGGGUUGCGGCGCUCAUCUCGCUUUAUUGGCCAAGGGAGCCGGUGUACAUCUUCCGGGUCAUGUGGCCAGCAUGACUAAGCCGCUUUUGGUGAACCAGAGCAGCACACGGAAACACCAUUUACCUUCCCACCGGAGUGGUACCUAUUUAUCUACUUGCACUUUCACGUGGUUUCAAACUGCUAAGUUGGCACCACCGACCUUCUGAUCGGCAAGCCCUAGGCUCAGUGGUUUAGACCACAGCGCCACCCGCCACGCACAUGAAAGAGCCUGCAAAUACAGUUUUACCUGAGGAUGGGUGAUCAUAUAUAACAAAAGGGCUUUAAUGGUUUCUAAUGGCCUGUAAAUCUCUCUACUUUUUGGAAUGUGACACCAUUAGAAUAGGGGGAGGGGCAGAGAGACAGCUGGAAGCCUUUGCAGUCUGAAAUUGGGCACAGAUGGGGCAGAGAAGGGAGAGCUUUUAGCUGGAGUUAACAAAACCCAAACUAUCCUUGGGCUGCAGAUACUCAAUUUUGAAAUCCAAGGCAGCAUUAGUGGUUGUUUAUUUGGUCCCAAAGCACACUGCUUGUAUGCUUAUAAAUAAACAAAUAUGGCAAAUUCCAGAGGGAUGCCAACCGUGUAAGUCUGUUGCAUGAUAGAUUAACUGAUACAUUAUUGCAUAAACUUUUAUGGACUGGAGUCCACUGCAUCAGAAGUCUUGAAGCUUGAAGUAACACGAGAAACAGCCCUGAGGUUCUCAGGCAUUCACAUUCUCUGUCAGGCCCCGGAUUCCAUAUAGUGUUUGAACAGAUGGACUACGCUGGAUGGAAUUUACUCUACUGUAUCGUAUUGACAGUAUUGGAUGGAAUGUUGUCUGGCCAAAGUAGCAUGUCUAAUCUAAUGUAUGGAAAGAUGUGUGGAUUCAUUUAGCACAAUGUCUUGAGGAUGGCUGGUGCUGAACUGGAAGGUGCAAAGUUGUAAAAAGCUUUUUAUACAUAGCAUUGCCCAAGUAAGAGUUUGAUUUGCCCUUUUGAAACUGAACAGUAGCCAGGUGUAGAAAGAAGAAAACAUAUACAGUAGUGUUCAUUGUGAAUGUCGCAAAAGCAUUUAAAUAAAUACAUAGGAAGCUAUGCUAUAUGGUUCAACUAGUUCAGUGCUGUCUACGCUGCUGCUCUUCAAAUGGUAGAUUGCGACUCACUACUAUUGGGUUGCAGAUGGACCUAACAUGAGUCAGAAUGGCAACACUGCCACCAUUUAAGUAUGCUUAAAAAUUUAAGAAGUAAGUCUUCUAAUUAUUUUUAUUAUUUCAUUAUUUACAGUCCUCUGUCCCCGAACGCCUCUGUUUUGGAAUGUUUCGGCACCCAAACUCCAAAAACCCGGAAAUAAGUGCUCUGGUUUUUGAACGUUUUUUCAGAAGCCGAAUGUCCAAUGCAGCUUCCACUUGAGUGCAAGAAGCUCCUGCAGCCAAUCAGAAGUUGCGCCUCGGUUGUCGAACAUUUUGGAAGCCGAACGGGCUUCCGGAACAGAUUAAGUUCGACAACCGAGGUUUGACUGUAUAUGCUACCCAUCUGACUGGGCUGCCUCAGCCACUCUGAGUGGCUUCUAACAAUAUAUAUGUAUGUGUGUGCGUAUGUAUGGGUUAUAGGUAGGUCCUGGGUGGGGAAAAGUUUGAAGAUCACUCAUCUUCACUGAUGGCAGCAGCUCUCCAGGGUUUCAGACAGGAGUCUUUUUCAGAGGUGUACCUAGGCUCCAUUGUGCGUGUCAGGAGAGACAAUGGACCAGAAGCUCAGAAAGUCUGCUUUUUGUCACCAUUUGUGCUCCACUAGUGACUUCCUCCACGGUCUUUGGGGCCGGAUGUGCUCUGCUCCACCUCCCUUCCUCCUCCUACAUCAGUCUGUUUGUCUGACCACAUGGGCGGGCGGGUUCCUAGCCACUCUGAGCCAGAAUGGAGAGGCGUGGUUUUUGCGCCCCCUUGGGCGUGCGCUUUUGGUGGGGGCCAACCUAGCCAACCCCUAGGUACACCCCUGGUCUUUUUGCCUGGAGAUGGAAGGAAUGAAAGCUGUGACCUUUUGCAUGCGCAGCCAUCUUUCCCUAAGCGGACUAGUUUUUUCUGCUGUAAGCCCAGAAGUGUUGAUUAGGAACAGGCUAGGCUCCAAUGUCCCCAUCCAAUCCAUGGCUUUACAUCAGUCCAGCUGAGUUCAAUGGCGUUUACUCCCAAGAGUAUGCAUAGGACUGCAGCCUUAAAUGAGAAUGUAAGAAGAGCCUUCUGGAUCAGGCCAGUGGCCCAUCUAGUCCAGCAUCCUGUUCUCACAGUGGCCAACCAUAUGCCUAUGGGAAGCCCGCAAGCAGGAUCCAAGCACUAGAGCUCUCUCUCUGCAGUUUCCACAACUGGUAUCCACAAGCAUUACUUGCCUUCAACCAUGGAGGUAGAGCUUAACCAUUGUGUCUUCUAGCCAUUGAUAGCGUUGAUAACACUUUGGAGGUCCCAAGUUGCAAGGUGGUUAGAUUGGUCUCAACUAGGGCCAGGGCCUUUUUAGUACUGGCCCCGACUUGGUGGAAUGCUCUGUCACAAGAGACAAGGGCCCUGCGGGACUUGACAUCUUUCCGCAGGGCCUGCAAGAUAGAGCUGUUCCGCCUGGCCUUUGGUUUGGACUCAGUUUGACACUUAUGUUUUCCCUCUCAUUACGGUUUUGAUCCAUGGGCUAUUUUUAAAAUGAGGCUGCAUUUUAAAUUGCAUUUUAAGCUGUAUUUUAAAUUGUUUUGUUGUUCCCCCCCCCCAUUAUGUUUUUAUUGUAAUUUUACUGGUGUUAGUCACCCUGAGCCUGGCUCUGGCCGGGGAGGGCAGGGUAUAAAUAAAAUUUAUUAUUGUUAUUAUUAUUAUUAUCAUCAUCAUCAUCCUCCAUGAAUUUGUUUUAUCCUCUUUUAAAGCCAUCCGCAUGCCACACUAUCCACAACAGAUAGCACUGUGAGAAUAAUUUUGUUGUUUAAUUAAACUGGUUAUAAACUUUUGCAUGCUUUCCCAAGCUAAAGUGUUCCUCAGCCUUUGCAUGAGACGUAGAGUGCACGGAAUCUACUCACGCAGAUUUAUGUGUGACAUUAUUCUCAAUCUGACUGUUUCUGUUUAUUGCAUUUGUUAUUUCCAAAAACCAAGUAAACAUAAUGCUAAAGAAAUGCAUAAAAGUCUCUACAUAAGGAAUCCCAGAAGAAUGGCGUGACUUAAAGGAGGCGAUUUGGCAAAGCCAGAGGAAGAAUCUACAGAAAGGUUUUUCACAUGUGUUUGUUUGCUUGUGGUGCUACCAGGGUAAAUUGGCCACAUCCCAGUUUUUUGGAGCAGCCUGGUCAAACAUUGGUGUCAUUCUGAAUUGUCUUUUUUUUAAAUGCAGCUGCAGCUGUAAAAAUGGAUUAGGAAUACUCCUGCAUAGUCCAAAUUUCAGCACUGGGUGCUGCAGAUGCUUCUGCCAGUCAGGGUGGAGUUGCAAGGGUGGAAUUAGCAGGCUGGGCGGGAUAUCAGGCAUGGUUUGCAACAGCUCAAAGUGACUGGUGAAUUUUCCCUAGGAAGGUCUGCAUCUUUCCACUCACCUCCAGAAGCCUUGAGUCUGUUUGCCUUUCGUUCUGACAAGCAUUCCCAAAACCACAGCAGGCACUUGAAAUUAAAUAGCUGACUGUCAAAGCCAUAAACCUUUGUGCUGCCAGCUACCUGCGUUUAAUUGCUUCCAAACUGUUUGUUUAACUGUCUUGAGUUCUUUUCCAGCGGGAUGUUUACAGGAGGGCAGGCUGCUCCCUCUAGGGUUGCCAGACACCCACAUAUGGCCUGCUCCAGGUUACCUAGAGCCCAGCAUAAGCUUUGUCUUGGACCUUCAGCACCCAGAAUUAAAUCACUGUACAUACAGUGCCAUGUAGGGACGUGGGUGGUGUUGUGGUCUAAACCACUGAGCCUAGGACUUGCCGAUCGGAAGGUUGGCGGUUCGAAUCCCCGCGACGGGGUGAGCUCCCAUUGCUCAGUCCCUGCUCCUGCCAACCUAGCAGUUCGAAAGCACCAAAGCACAAGUAGAUAAAUAGGUACCGCUCCUGCAGGAAGGUAAAUGGUGUUUCCGUGCACUGCUCUGGUUUCACCAGAAGCGGCUUAGUCAUGCUGGCCACGUGACCCGGAAAAACUGUCUGUGGACAAACGCCGGCUCCCUCGGCCAGUAAAGUGAGAUGAGCGCCACAACCCCGGAGUUCUUCAUGACUGGACCUAACGAACAGGGGUCCCUUUACCUUCAGAGUUGAAAAGGACCACAAGGGUCUUCUAGUCUAGCCCCUAGCAAUGCAGGAAUCUUUUGCCCAAUGUGGGGCUCAUACCCUGUCUCUAUUCCUUGGGAGGAGAAUAGUACCCUUGCUAGGAGAUGGAAAGGGCUGUUCCGCUGCCGCCACUGCAGCUCCUCCUUCACCUCUGCACCUUCCCUCUCUCCUCCUCUUCUCAGGCCAACAGGAAGAGGUGGGAGAAGGAGCUGCAUCAGUGCGGUGGUCAGGUCAGAUCGCACCUGCACACCUCGGGCUCAUGUGCAGCACCUGUAAUGUUGGCGGCAGCACAUGCAUGGCUAGAUGCUAUAUAUCGGCUGUGCAUUGCCAGUGCCCAGGUCCACCUGAACUGUACAGGUAGAGUAGGCAGCUGCCUUUGGUGGCAGAAUUAAAGAGACACACUGUCCUGCCAGCCAGGAAGUCAUACUUGAGUCCCUGCUGUUGAACUGCUUCUAGACUGGUCAGCUCUGCACACAAACCACGCUUGUGAGAGCUUGGAGACCUGGAUUUUGAACUCCCUGGUCCUUGUCUGAUGUUCUCUGACCACUAAACCCAGGGUUCCCACGCUGUGGUCCGCAGACCCCCAGCACUCCAUGAGAUUCAUUUGGGUAGUCUGUGGUAUGCCCACACUAAAUAUUCAGAUUGUAUUUUUAGUUGCUUCUUUUAGUUCCUCUAUUUUAUUUUACUGUAUCCUAAUUUGAAUUCUGUGGAAUGCAAUAGAAGAAAUAAAAGAAGCAAUAUAAAUACAAAUUUUAAAAAAUCUGGCAUCAAGCACAGCAGAUUACAGUGGCUCCAAUGGGCAGGAAAAUCAUUAAGCAGUCUGCUAGGAACCUCCACAAUUUUCAAGUGGCCCAUGGAGAAAGAGGUUUCGGAACUGCUGCUUUAUAAUAGUGGGUGGGGGGGGAGUGAUGGGGAGAGGAAGCACAGGUGAGGGGGAACAGUUUAGCUCCCUUUCCCCCAACUGUGCAUGUGAUGCUUUAAAUGUCCCCCCUCCCACCCCAGCCCCUGUUUUGCAGUGGUCCAGGGGGUGUCCCGAUCCAUUCCUAGCACAGAGCUCUGCUGCUCUCUCAGCUCGCUUGGCCCCAAGAUGCGAUUUAAAAAACAAGGACAUAUUUGCAGCUGUUCGCUCCUUAUCCUCACACAACCCACAGGCAAAUUUGAUUGCUUUCUUGAGCACUGCCCCUAAUCUUCCCAUGACUAAGUGGACAUAGCUUAUGGCCUCAACGUUUCCCUUCUUUUAAAGGACUGUCUAUGGUCAUCAGCGAUCUUCAGACUUCACGUUUCAGGGUAGAAACUAAUCCAUCCUCUAGACUAGAAUGUGGAGUGGGGUGAAACCCACUCACUCAAUGAAAAGUGAAGCUCCGGCAGCUGGCCUGUACUUUAUUGCCAAACAGCUGGCAAACUACUUUAACACAUCUAGGGUAGCAUAGCAGCUGAGCUAUGAGCCCCAGAGCCCUUGUUCAAAUCUCACCUCUGCCUUGAAUUGAUCUACGUUGAAUUGCUCUACGUUGAAGGGUUGUUUGAUUCCAGAUAGAUAGAUAGAUAUAGAUAUGGAUAGUAUUUUUAUAUUGUGAACCGCCCUGAGAUCUUUUGAUGAAGAGCGGUAUAUAAAUCUAAUAAACAGAAGAAUAAUAACAAAAUAAUAAAGGUUGUGUGUGUGUGUGUGUGUGUGUGUGUAGGCCUCUUUCCCACCCGAAGACCUUCAAAAGUGGCUUAUGAAGUAAAAGAUGACCACAAAUUAAAACGUGAAAUAUAAAUUAACACCACAUAAAGUAGCCACAGCAGAAGAAACAGAUGGUGCCCUUGUUCCAUGUACAAAAGCCAGCCAACCUGGGAGAUGAAUAUUUCUUCAACACGGGCAAUGAGAUUGUGUUCUUCUCUGCAUUUUAGGGCAGCAGACUAGCUUUGGGUCGCAGGGCAUGGCAGGCCAUGUGGCACACAGAGCUCUGUCCUCCAACAACUCACUGCUACUCCCAGCGUUCUUCACCAGAGUGGACUGCCUCACUCUGCCUAGCAAGAGGGGCAGCAGCCACCCUAGUGCUGCAGAGGUGAGAAAUUCUGCAUGUGCUGAAAUUCCAAAAUCUCCUACCCAACUGUUCAGGCACCUGAGCUCUCUCCUCCAUUGCAUCUGGUCACCCAAAGAGAUACAUUAUGCUUUGCUCCGCAGUGAGUUUGGGUUAUUUUCCUGGUUGCAAAUAAGACAGUGGUGGGCCAUUAGCAUUGGUAAAGUCCAUUGCCUUCACCUAUUUGCUUCUGAGAGACUCUCAAAGACAGGAUGGUUAAGGAGACCAUGGCAGUGCAGCUCCAGACAAUAUUGCAAGCUCACUGACAAAGUACUUCACUCAGGUGUAUAUUCAUUAUGAUUUUAAACAGUUAUUCCUGGUGUUCUGUGGGUUAUUUUGCCAAGGGUGACUUUAGCAACUGGGCUCCUCCCUACCAGGAAUGCAUGAAAGGUCAGGAUAUUAAAUUCCUUUGAUAUGAGGGGCAGAAGCAAAAAUAGCAGCGAUUGUGGCCUGAUGAUCCCAUUAGCUCCAAAGGCUACUGACAGAUUUCAUCAGUGUUCUCUCCGCCACAGAGACUGUUGAUAUGACUGAUUGGGAAAACAAAAUAUUGGUAGACUUUGCAGAAUGGAAAACCCAGCCCUGGGUAUUCCCUUGCUAGCUAGCUGGAAUUAAACUGUAAUAAGAAUAACAAGGCAGGUGUGUGUAUUUGUGCUUCUUCCACAUGCUCAAAGUGCUUCUAACAGUCACCCCUCCCUCCCCAAUAAUCUUUACAACAACCCUCUAAAAUAUGCCCAAUGAAGAUAAUGGUUGCCUAAGGCAGGGAACCUGGUUUUGUUGUUUUUGAGGGUUUCAUUCCAUCAGCCGUGAUCUGUUGGGAGGCCACAUGGGCAGGCAAAGCUCUCGCACACCACAGGGCUGUCCAGCUCCAACGACCCAAGAUCCUCCCAUUCCUCCUCUGGAUCUGUCCGUCCCUCCCAUGACAUCUCCACAGGACUCAUGGCAGCUAGGAGACAUGUUCUAUGGAAGACAGGACAUUGCGCAAGAAUAGCACACUCGCCUUUAACAAUUGUUUAUGACAAAGCGUGUUCUCCUUCAUGGAGAGCACGUGUUGCAGUGGGGGCUAACAAGACACCCCACUGAAAAGAGGGGGGAAAGAGGUUGGCCACCAUUAUAACUGCGUUCUUCUUGUUGCUGGGGAGAUUUACAUGUUGCCAUUUUGUGAUUGACAUCCAUAGCCUUUAAAUGUCCUGUGUGCAGCGUUGAGCUUCUUCUUUUUGCUGCGUGCAUCGGAUCACCCACCCACCCUCCCUAAUUUCAGGGUUGUUCGCUUGACAUUGCUAUGCCUGUCAUGGGGUCGUCUGCUUUUGGGGCAGGGGCCCAGUAGGAAUUUUGUCCAUUUGGCUGAUUGGCUGGUGCCAUUUGGAUUUUGCCUAUUGCGUAGCAAAUCGUCACAACUUGUAAGGUUGUGGUUAGGCAUUGGUUUUAUGAAUUGGUUGGUGGAGGGGUAUGGACUGGCUGUGCCUGCCCCUCCAAAUGCUGCUGCUGCAAGGGUAUUCCGUUAAAGGAAUCCAGGGGCUCGCCAUGCUUUUGUCCAAACCCCUGUCAAGGGGCUAUGGCCACGCAAGAGCCCCUGGGAGCAUUUGGGAAGAGGUGAGGGCAUGGUACCCAGCUCUGUCUCUCUCCCCAAAAUGUUUUCCCUUCCUGACUUCGCGGGCAUGCAAAUGUCAGUCUGUCCCCGUGCGGGGUCAGAUAGUCGCAACCAAUGCCUAAGCAACCACACAUUUCUUGUAUUUUAAUAAAAUUGUAGCCAAAAUUAUGCCAAAAAACCUUAAACAAAAACCAUGUGUCAAUUGUGUUUUAUUUGGGGGGUGCCUUGGGGACCUCGACACGCAAGAUUGUUUUACAAAAUGUGGAUUUAGGCAAUGAUCUAUGCCACCCAUUCACCAUUUCCUAGAACUCUCUUGCUGGGCAUUCAAAUUGCUGGUAGAUGCACAGAGUUACAUAGUUGUUGUUGUUUUUAAUUUAACUUCAUUUUUAGUUCGAUGGGUAUACACAUCUUUUAAAAAGAAAGAAAGAAAAAUACACAACAGAUCCCACAGCAGCUCUUGGUAUUUGGCCAGGUGUGGGAAACCUUUGGCCCUCAAAAUGUUUCUGAACCACAGUUCCCAUCAGCCCCAGCAGCAUUUGAAGAGCCAAACAUUCCCUAGAUGGUGGCAGGUGAAUGAACUACUUGUAAAUUAUACUUAAUGUUACCAGGGAUUGGCAGGGGAACUGUGAGUGUAACCAGUGCUAUUUUUCUAGAAAAGGAGGUGCCAGAACUCACCGUGAACACCUCCCUCGUUCUCUUAGAAUGGCGCCCACCUGAGAGAUGCCAGAACUGAGUUCUGGUGAGUUCCAGCUGGGGAAAAAAAACCCUGGGUGUAACUUACAUUUAUUUCGUCAUUAAUAAUGUUUCUAUGUGGAAUUUUUAUUGCAUUUCUAUAUCUGAUUUUUAUUUGCACUGUUUUCUCUUUUUUAAUGUUUAAGAGUACAUUUGGUUUUCCUGUUAAUUAUGCUGCCUUAGACGUGGUUCAUUAUUGUCUCAGAUUCUUAUUUGUAAAGUUUUAGUUUAAUAUUCUGUAAUCUUCUCUUUGCUUACUGGAAAUGCAAAGGGGUAUAGAAAUUAUUUAAAUUGCAUUACAAUAAAUGGAUAGUUAGUCCUUUUAUAGGGAGAAAAGGAGAUUCCGGCAACUACUGGUUAAAUAGGCAAGUUGCAGAAGACAUUGUUUAUACCCAUCCAUGUCCUAACUGCAUUGUGGCAUUGGCUGGCAUGCAGGUGUCAGUGUGUGCAACCACUUCCCUUACUCAUAGGAAGGAAAACAAUGUGCCCUUCUGAACUCUGAGCUGCAGCUGUCUAGACAAUGACUAAGGGAGGAAUACGUUCGCUUUUGCAAAGCUUUGAAGGGUGUAAAGAGGAAAGAGGACGCUUUGAAGGGGGAGAGGAAUUUUUGGAACAGUACGAAGUGCAUUAAAAUUAAGGGCAAGAUGAAAAAGUUGUCCUCUGGGAAUGCUAGACUGAGAUCUGAGAUGAGAAAGAAUUUGCCAGCAGUGACAUUUUGAUUAGACUGAGAAAUCCCCAUGACUUAUUCACAGUGCGUUCCAGGUAAUCUUGUGGUUCCUUGCAAAUUUAUCAGGGGUUCCUAGAUUAAAUGUUUAGGGACAGGAGACAGAAUUCCCUAAAGUACAACAUGCACAUCAGUGACUGGUGUUCCUCUUUGACACACAGUUGGUGUGUUUUAGGGCAGACACAGUUUGUGAAGGCUUGUAGUGAAGCUCCUAGCGGCAGUGCCCUGGUGAAUGGAAUUUGAUCCCCAGAGGAUGACCCAGAAUCCUUUGCAAUGUGCAAGUGUUCCAUAGCAUACAGUUGUCAUUUAAGUCACAAUCACUUAAGUCAAGGUUGGAAAGAGGGCAAAUUGGGAUUUACUGGCAAGUCUUUUGGGUGAUUUGCAUUAGAUUAGGAAGGGUUCCCAACUCCCACUUGUUUAAUAACAACAACAUGGCUUCCCUCACAUAUAUUAGGCUGUUGAAAUGAAGAAAACUAACCAGGUGUGGACUUCUGUGAGACUCAGUUCACUUCUACAACUGAAAACAUAUUCCUAGGCUCAGACUAACCUUGAUGGUUAUGUUCUUUCUACCUCUGCUGUUGAAGGCAGUGUGUUUCUGAAUAACAGUUGCUAGAAAUUGUAAGAGAGGAGAGUCCUGUUGCACUCAUGAUCAUAGAAUUAUAGAGUUGGAGGGGACCAUAAGAGUCAUCUAGUCCAACCCCCUUCAAUACAGGAAUCUUUUGCCCAGCGUGGGGCUUGAAGCCACAGCUGAGAGGCUUUACCGAUUGAGCUUCCCACAGGCAUGUUUGGCCACUGUGAGCACUGGAUGCUUGGACCAUAUGGGCCACUGGCCUGAUCCAGCAGGCUCUUCUUAUGCUUUAUGAUUGUGCUCAGAGGCAUCUUGUUCUUUUCCAUUCCAUAUCUGUAAUUGGCCAUUUGCAUCUGCCUCUGGUUUGUUGGGUCUUGAGGUUCUAAUAAAGAAAUUGAAUUGGACCUGAGAAGUCUGCCCACCUGUGAUUUAAGUCUUAAUCAGCAGCUUUCGCCUUGUUCCCGGGACUGUGAAUUGCAGUUCUGAGGAUUUCACCUUCCUCCACUGAAGUUCUUUAUAGACAAAAGGUUUGCAGAGCCACUGGUCUAGAUUGCAGUAAGCCUAGGAAUAACCAUGGUUUGCUGGCUCUCAUCAUCCUUGUGAGCAGUGGUUGGUACAAAGUGAGGAUAUUUUACUCUGGAGUAACGAAGACUAUACAUUCCCUGAGAGGGAACCGCAUUAGUCUAUUACAGCAAAAACUAAAAGACUACAGGACUGUUUGAAAAACUAUAAAUGUAUGAUCUCAAUUUAUGUUAGGGUAAAUACCUUGGGUAAUAAAGCAGUUUGCUGCCUACAGUAAGCACAAUCUCAGUGCCACAUCCAUAAAACAGAACAAUGAUCCUACUUCCUAGAGACACUGCAAUUUUAACAGUGACUGCAAAGCACAUAAAGGUCCAGUUCAUGGGUAACUCCAAACCAAACCAUGGCUAAGUGUGAAUGUGCAAGCUUUAGGGUACUCACAGAAAAUAUUGUGGCCACUUCACUUCUCCCCAGUCAUCCUGCCACUGCGCUAUUUGGAACUAAGUAAUGGUUUGCCUUAGCAUUAGGUUUAUCUGCUUCAAACAAACCACAAGCGGUUAGGCAAGAACAAACCACAUGCUGCAGCAAUGGUUUGUUCUUAGCUUACUUCUUUUGGUUUGUCUGGGGGAGACCAUUCAUGAGCCCAGGUAUGGAUGUAACAUGAAACUCAACCAUAGUCUAGCUCUGGGUAGGGUGGCAAUAGGACAAGCACAGGGGAGCGAAGUUAAGUGGCUGUGAUCUUUAUUGUGAGUACCCACACACUACUCACACUUAGCCAUGGUUUGGCUUGUUGUGAACUGAGCUUCUACAUGCUUCGAAACCACUAUUAACACUAUGUAGUCCUUACAAAGUAGGAAGAUCAUUGUUAUUACUUCUGUUUUAUGGACGUGGCACUGAGAGUGUGCGUUUAACAACAGAGUUUGAGAUUUACCUUUCCUGCCUACUAAUAACAAGGCUGAGAUGCUGCCCGCUGGGCUGCACCAGUUUUAACAAGAUGCCAGGCCCUGAACACUCAAGAGCAAAUUGCCAUUCCACCCACCACGAUAGGAUGUUGUUGCCUUUGCUCAUGAAACUUUUGGGGCACACAGCAAACAGUGAGUCAUCCCAGUUACAAGCGGAGUGACUCAUCUUGUCUGAGCAAAGCUUGUCUACAUUCAGCUGUGCAAUGUACCUGUUUUAAAUAGGGCAAUGCUUAAGUUCUCAUAAUGCAUCUAGAAUUUGAGUUUUAUAUAACAUUACUAGCCAUAACCAUGUCUUACAUGAGAUCACUAACCAUAUCUGUCUGGUACAAUAUUAUCUGGCAUUUCUGCUCUUGGAAUGUUGUUGGGCAAUCCCUGCAUUUUGAACAUGUGAUUACUUUGGGGGAAUGGGUGAGAAUAAAUACAGGCAAAUUUAUUACGUCUGGAUUUAUGACCUCUAAAAAGUGUUUCUUUCUUUCAGGUUGUAGAGUCGGCCUUUGGGAAAAUCCUCUUCCCACCCCUGUCAAAUUCCCGCCACCCUGCUUUUAGCUGCUUUAAAACAAGAGACACAAAACCGCAGAAUUUUUGAAUUUAAGGUUUUUUUAAAACAACUUUAAAUACAGUACUGAGUAUAAAUUAAUUUUUACAUAAAAUGGGUGUGGAGAGAGAGACCUUGCCCUCCUUACAAAUGAAAAAGAUGCAGGAAAACAAAUGGUCUUUUAAAGACAACGAGAAGUAAGAUUGAAUAGCAAGAAGUGUUCUUUAAUGUCAGAGAGCAAGCUUUGGGUGUAAGGCGGGUAGACAGGCAGGAAAUCUCUGUUGUUUCCAUCAGCCUUAAAUUUUUUUUUUUAAAAUUCCUGCUACUGGCCUCCUCCAUGAAACUAGAUUGAGAGACCACAGCUGUUGCUGUAAGCUUACUUCUUUUAUUCGCCAGUAGUGCCUGACCAUAGUGCCAACUGAUCGUUUUGCAAGGUUUGAUCGGCCCAUAGUCUUGGUUUGCAAGGAGAAAAGUGGACCUACCCAAUACAGCAGAUCAGGGAGGGGAAAACCCAUGGCCCUCCAGAUGGUUUUGUCCUACAACUCCUAUGUUCCCUAACCAUUGGCCAUGUUGGCAGAACUGGUGGGAACUGGAGUGUUUCCCAUUCCAGCAUUAGGCAGUACAGGAACCUGCCUCUAGCACCUGAAUCCAAGUACUCCAUACAAAUGCAAUUCAAGGGGGAAACAGUCCCCCACCCCCUUGGACCCUUUGGAUAACAGGAUCUGAGGUAUGGGGGCAAUACCAGACCCAGUUUGUCCCACGAGUUUGCAGUCAGUGUGCCUACCUUCCUACCAGUCUCCCGGUUUGUAGCCUUUUCCUCUUGUUCCAUACAAAUGAAUGGAGCAAAACAGCUUAAGCCAGCCUUGCAGGAAAAGGAGGAAAACCUGGAUUUUCAAUCCAACCUGGUCAUCAGGCAAAUGUUGCGUUUCACAUGCUUCCUAUAAAAGUGACUCCAGGGGCAGGUUAUUCCUUCUCUUUCCUUGUGCCAAACAUUUGCACAGAUACAUCUUUUAGGUAGCGUUGUGUGAUGUGUCUGUCUCUUUCUAACAAAUGCAUGUGACUGCCAUGCUUCAACUCUUCAUCUGGUCUACCUGAGACAUGGCAGGAAAUCUUUCCAAGCAUUAAGGUCUAUCCAAGGUGCCUUUUGCUGGGCUUAAUCCAGCACAAAGACCAGAGAAAUGGCAGAGGCAGAGAGCAGGGGAGAAGGCGGGACUUACCUUGCAAAAUUUUAUUCACACUCUAUCCCAGCCUUUGCCAACCUGAUGCCCUCCAGAUGGGGCUGAUGGGAGUUGUAGUCCAAAACAUCUGGAGGGCACCAGGUUGGCAAAGGCAGCUCUACCCAUUUCCCCAUCCAUUAUGUGUUUUUUUGCCCUUCUUUUGCAAGAGAAUACAGAGAGGUAGGUGGAAAGUAGAAGUUAUGAAGUCUUGUCUGUGCAAUCCUUCUUUACUCUUUCCUCCAACACUUUAAAGAUAAACAGGUGAGUGAUCCUUUCUCUGACUCGGGAAAAGUGAACGUCUUUCCUUCUUAUUUUACCUCCCCACAGGCCCCUGCAAUCGUUCCUGAAGAUAGGCCACUCUUUCUCACACACACAAAACCUUCAGAGGUUAUUAUUCUUUGGUGAUCUGGAAUGGCUUGUGAACCUUUAAAGAGAUAACCGUUCCCGGCUUUGAAGAGACAAAAUAUAGGACAGCUGAGAAAAACAGAGAAGAUUAAAAAUAGCCAGUGGUUAAAGAGGGCCAGUUAUCUCUGCUCAGCUUCUUUGCCUCCCCCAUAUACAUCGGAUGCUACUGACUGGCUCCUUGUCCAGGGACUCUGGUUGAACAGCACUGGAAACAGAGGAUGAGGUGCAAAGCACCACUUGGCACACAGGCGCGACUACGCAAUGCAUCGUGCGAUCUUUUAUGGCUGUUGCAAGGCUUGGCACAGCUCCAUUUUCAUCCGAUCAGAUGAUGUUCACCUGAGGUUAUUAAGACGAGUUAGCAUCUGCAUAUUCGUUGCUGUAUCAUAGGAGGGAUGGUAAUAACACUGCCUUGGAAAUAAAGUCGCCCACAAAGGACCUGUGAUAUGGGCUGGGCUGGUGGUCAUCACAGAGUCAUACCAAUGAUCUGCGCAACCCGUUGCUGUUUGACCCCUGAUGAGCAGCAGCUCUCCAAAAUACCAAGCAAAGGUCUCUUUCUCGGUCUACACUGCUACUUGAGAUCGCUUAAACAGAGGUGGCAUUG